GUGCUCACUUCAGCAGCACAUAUGCUCAAAUUGGAAUGACACAGAAAAGCUUAGCAUGGCCUUGUGCAAGCCGACACGUAAAUUUACAAACCAUUCCAUAUUUUU
ensembl:snRNA U6 U6 spliceosomal RNA